rnacentral:rRNA from 1 species
UACAGAGGGUGCAAGCGUUAAUCGGAGUUACUGGGCGUAAAGGGCGCGUAGGCGGGUGUUUAAGUUAGUUGUGAAAUCCCUGGGCUUAACCUAGGAACUGCAACUAAAACUGGAUAUCUGGAGUACUGUAGAGGGUAGUGGAAUUUCCGGUGUAGCGGUGAAAUGCGUAGAGAUCGGAAGGAACAUCAGUGGCGAAGGCGGCUACCUGGACAGAUACUGACGCUGAGGCGCGAGAGCGUGGGGAGCAAACAGG